rnacentral:tRNA from 1 species
CGGACCGUAGCUCAGCUUGGCUAGAGCGUCUGCCUUGGGCGCAGAAGGUCGCAGGUUCAAAUCCUGUCGGUCCGACCA